GGGGUUGAAGCUCAGUGGUAGAGCACUUGCUUAAAAUGUGUGAGGCCCUGGGUUCGAUCCUCAGCAUCACAU
rnacentral:tRNA from 1 species